rnacentral:lncRNA from 1 species
UGUUUUCUAAUUAUAUAAGCAGUUGUUGGGUUGAACCAAGCCCGAAGCCUUCCCAUCGGCAUUAAUGCAUGACGAAUGAGCCGGUUCAUUUUUGUAGGUCAGCUUAACGUCUUCCAAGUUAAUAUCACUGCAUGGAUUUCCUUUACUGCAGUCAAACUUCAUUGCAAUUUCGGUUGCCGAACUCCCAUGUAUGUCUUGAUAAGUUAUAUCACUAAUCUUUACACCCGAAACCUGAGAAAAUAAAAUAAAACCCUUUUCAGAAUUAACAGAAUAGAUGCAAGCUGGAAGCUAACUGGAAGCAGCAAAUGGAAGCAAGUAAUAACAGUUACAUUGCACGGCUGGAAGUUAGUUUCAUCAGUUGUAUAUUUACAGUGUCAAAAAUGUAUUGGUUUGUAGUACGUUCGUUAGUUAGUUUGUUUAAAUUAGUUGGUUAGUUGUCUAUUUAUAGCAGGAUGUAAAAACAUUCAUUUCAAUAAGAAUUAAACAGGGCUGGAUUUCAUUCUAUAUAAGUAAGGGGGAAUAGGGUGGGAGUUGGGUUUUUCUGUAAGGAAAUAAGUGCAACAAUAAAAUUUAUAAUGCUACAAAAGCAAUUAUUACCUGAUCAGGACAAUUUUGACCACCGGGACAAUAAUUUUGGUCAAUAAUUAUUGGAUUUUCGACGUUAACCAUCACAAGAUGCUGGAAGAGAACAUAUUUAACAAACCCCUUGCUUGGCCUGGCCCAUGUCUUCACCCUCACCCCAUUUUGUGUUCCUGUAAAUGUAGCUGACUUAACUGUCACAUUUUGCACUCCAGGUUCUUGAAUUUGCCACCCUAGACUCCCAAUGCUGCAAAAGGCACACAAAUUAAUCAACUUAGGUAUUAAGUACUUAAUUUAUAGCACACCUGUAAGUAGGCAAAUAAACCUUUGGGAUGGAUAUUAUAAAAUUUAAUCCACUGCGGGCUUUAUAUAUGUGAGAAAACCAGUACCUUAUCCCAUGGCCAGGGCCGCAGGCGACAUUUUCUAUCCACAGGUUGGAGGUGCCAGGGCCAAUAGAGAUACAGUCAUCACCGGUUCCAAUUUUUGAGUUCAUAAUUGUGACACUUGAGGAUUUCUCCACAUGGAUUCCAUCGGUGUUCGGGCUGUUUCCUGGCGCUGAAACCUUCAUUCCCACCAGCUUGGCGUUUUGGCUUCCAUAAACCAGAAUGUGGAACAUCUGGCUAUUUAUUGAAGACAAUCCACUGAUCAUGAUGUUUUUGGAAUUGUAGAAUGCCAGUGUCUGUAUUGAAGAUACAAUGAAAAAGAACAUUAAAAUUUCCAUGCAAGUUACUCAAGUAGAAUGAACUAAUUAUGUAUCAAACAUGCAAAGCUAAUUAGAGUACUAUUUCAAAUGAUAAUAGUCCACUUUCUUCUUUAUUAACGUACCGUUGCUCCAGUUGGACAACUCUUGCCGGAAUUUUUGCAAGCCCACAAAUUAGCCCCUUGGGCGUCUAAGGUUCCACCAAUGACAGAAACUCCCGUUACACUUUCGAAAUUUAUCCAGGUACCAGAGUUUCCAAUAACUUUAUAAUUAGAUGGAGCUGCAAGAGUGCCAUCAAUCUGUAUCGUUAUGGCCUGGUUUUUGCAUGACUGGCCAGCAAAAGUUGCAGUGCCGAGCAAGAAUCUUCCCGGGGGCACGUAUAUGGUGGCUGGUUGUCCAGAGGCACAGGCAGAGGUCCAUGCACUCAAGAAUGCUUUUGCGGAAUCAGUUUUUCCGUCGGGUUUUGCUCCCAAUGUUUGAACAUUGUAAUUAACAUUGGCUGCAAGUGAUGAAUACUGAAAGAUGGUGAAGAGAAAAUGGAAAGCAAGAAAACUCACUAAGCUAGCCAUCUUGUGUAUAUGAGAGAGAUUCGAUGAGGAGUUGAAGCGUUUAAGAGGUAUUUAUAGGCUUUUGUUUGUGAAUAUAGAUUAGAUUUAGAUAAUAAUGUUUGGUCAUGUUUACUGUUUAUUUAUGACAAACAGAACUUGUUUGGUGGAAUAAGAAUUUCAUGCUUUUUCGAACAUGGCAUCAGUCAAUAAAUUGCGGCUCAAGAAACAAAUACACCCACGAGAAAGUGAUUGAGGUUCGAGAAAACAAAAUUCUCAUAAUUCUCAUGUCAUUUAUUUAUUUUCUUUUGUCACAAAAAACAUAAAAUUCCUAAGUUGUUAUAUUUCUGUUUUGCGGCAAAUAUCUGUCCAUGAUCACAAUAUUUUAAUAUAACUAAAACUCUAUUUUCUUGUAUUUAUAUAAUUUGUCACCAAAUUUAUAUAGAAAAAAAAAUUGCAUAUGCAUAUAACCUUUAAUGUAAAAGUCAGAUUUAAUAUAAAGAAUUUUGUCAUUUGUAUAUAAAAAUGGUACGUAAGGGGUCACUGAAAAUAAUUUGGAUGAAAAAGAUUAAAUGAAAAUAGUUAACUAUGUUUUAUACAUUGACAAAUGAUAGAGUGUCAUGUAACAAUAUGUAAUCUCUUAUGUAAAUUUUGAUGUUCAUGUAACAAUGUCCUAUUAUAAUGCCGAUGGCAUAUUGAAGAUUCUUGCAAAAAAAAAAAAAAUGCAAACCGAAGCUCUAUCAUUUUGUAUUGUCCAAAUAUUAUCGUGUAUGACUUUUCAAAUCAAUUUUUAUUCUCUCAUUUCAUGAGAUUCACAGUUACUAUCUACUUAUCUAUUGCUCAUUUCUAUCAUUUAAAUAUUAACCACCCAUCCACUGAUAUUUUCUAUAAUUACUAUCUACUUAUCUAAUACUCAUUUCUAUCAUUUAAACAUUAUCCACCCAUCCAGUAAUCUUUUCUAUCUAUCUAUAAAUAAAGGUAUUUAUAAUUACUUCCCAAACAUACUUUAAUUUGCCAACAAAUUAUAGUAAAAAUGGACCGACUAUUAAAUCAUUGGCCAGCUUAAGCGUUUGGGAACGAUUUUGUGAAUUGAUUUUUUGAUCGUUAGAAGAAACAUAGGGUCUACAUGUGAGGAAAAAAGUCAAACUUUAUGUCUAGAACAGUGAAAUAACAGUCAAAAAAUCAAUUUUUGGAGUAAAAAAUCACUUCCAAACACCUUCUAAGUUGCUUCUUCCUAAAGCUCAGUUAGUUAAUUUGCUCAUUUCAUGUGAGAAUAAAAUUUAAAAUAAUAUCUCAUUAAUUUAGAACUCCAGUUCUUGCUUAUCAAUAUUUAUUUAAUAAUUACAAUACUCACCGGAAUAAAGAAUAACAUAUUCUUGAAAUAAGUUCUAUCUUUCUUCUUAAAGUCAGUGCAUAUUAAUACAAAUUAGUAAAUUUAAAACAUAAAACAUGUAGUAGUCAUGUUUAAUCGAGAAUUCUUUUAAGAAAAGUGAUAUUGAUAUAGUAAUUCAAGUUCUCGACAACCAAAAUUACAUUGGUUGUGAUCAAUUUUUCUUUUAACCAAGCUAUUCUGAACUUACAUUACAACCAAAUAAGAUCAUAACCCUAUUUUUUAAUUAUUUGAAUAUAAGAAUGGAUAAACAAAUUGAUGAAUAGAAACAAAACUAAGAAGGUAAUUAAUUACUUGAUCCACACGCCAUUUAUUCUUUGUUGGUCAUACAUAGUAGAAGUUGAAGUUUGAUUUCCGGAGAGAUUAAUGUUACCUAAUUUUCUUACUUUUCAGCUAAGGUGCAGAAAUAUGUCUUCUUUUCAACCAUUUAGUUUUCUGUUUCAUCAGUACAGUAAAGCAAGCCGUUUAUUAGACUACAGGAUUCCAAUUCUUAGCCACCUUAUACAUUUUUAUUUUUCCUCUUUUCGUUCCAUAUUCCUACCUGUGUUUGGCAAACCUAGGCUUAAAACAUUAUUAGGUCACUUUAAUUUUGCCUUUGACUUUAAAAUAUACUUUAUAUACAAUUUAGGGGAGGAAGGCUUAAUUUUAUGGAAUAAUAUACUGUAAUUCCGGCAAAAAGAUAGGUCCUGAAAUUAUCAUGCUACACACAGUAUUUAGUUUUUGAAGAAACGUAAAAAGUGUCUCAAACAAAGCAAUGUGAAUUGGACGUAUGUUUCGUAUGCAUGAGUAAAGUUUCAUAUGAAUGUCAAAUGAAUAGUUACUAACUUAUUGAAUGAAUUAGGUUUCUAUCCUUAUGCAUCAUACAUGAUAAAAUUAAACGUGGGCUGAAAAUUUUAGGACGGUUGAUGGUAAAUAAUAUCAACAUGUUUGGUAUUAGAAAGCUAUUUCUAUCGUGAACCUGAUUGUGCUUUUGAUAUUGGACAACUUUGUCAUUCUACCUUUCUCUUCUAUCUAUUUUUUUUAACAUUAAAUAAUUUUUUGAAUAGGGAAAAAGGGAUUGUAAAGUUCGAAAGAAAAAAACAAUGUUUCAAACAGUUGAAAAAUCAUCAGAAUUUUUUUGGUAAACAUGUAAUUAUUUUCAAGAUGCAAUUGUAAUGAGAUAACUGAUGGAGAAAUUUUGGAUAAGAUGAAGUCAUAUAUCCUCCACAUUUUCUCAGUUGGGAUACCCAUACGGCAUAUUGAUAUAUUUUAAUUUCAUGAAUAACAACGUUAUUUUCACCCUCAAUUCACCCAAAAAUAAAAAUAAAAAUAAAAUACAAUUACUCUAUCAUAUCAUUUAUAUAAAUAUUUAUACAGAUAUUUAGUAGCUCUUACAGUUGAAUAGAUUUCUGCAUUUAUAUGACAAUCAUAAUGGAAAGAUGAGAAUUAGAAGGUACAACCCAAAAUUAAAAAGCCCAACUAAAAACCCCAAAAUAGGAAUUUGGAAUUUUUUUUCAAUUUCAUUUUACUUUAGGUAAGAAAUGACUAGCAACAUAUUUGUAUCCACAUUUUCAUGCUUGCAGUUUAAAAAUAGUAAAAUUACAACCCCAUUUGCUAUUAGGCAUCUAUAUUCUUCGACUGAACAAAUUCACUUUUGACUUUGUAUGCAAUUUACCAUUCAGGUUAUUUACCAUUCAGGUUAAUAUACAAUGUAGGAGGACUUUAUUUCCAUUAAUGAGGAAUAGAAACUUAAUCUUGUUAAGUAAAUUUCUACUCCAGUAAAUGCAAAAGGGGCUAAUAUUCUUUACUAAUUGGGCGUGAGGGGUGGGGAGGGAGGAGAUUGUUGGAACAACUGAUUCAUCUCGAAGAUCAUAUGUAUAAGAGGGAUGUUGUGUUCCUUUAAAUUUUACAUUUAAUCGAAAAAUUAUAAAUUAGUCUUUUCGAUUAGCCUCUUCUCAUAGGUAAUUGUACAGACAAUAGUAUAACGAUGAAAUCUAUGAUUUGAUAUUUUUCAUACUAAUUUUCAAAUUUUGAUAUUAAUAUUUAGAGAAAAUUUCAUAGAAUGUCCAAUUUCACCAAGUCAUUUGCAAAAAUGUCCACAUUUUUUCCAAUGUCCAUUUUCAAAUUAUUUAGACAAAAAUACUCCUGUUAGGAAAUUCUAUUUCCACGCCCAAGGCAAGAAUCUUGGUUCAUUUCUCCCCCAAAUUAAUCCAAAUUUCAUAACACUCCAGUUCCAAAUCGAUUACAUUUAUUUGCUGUGAAAUCUGAAGGAGCGAUUGGGAGGGAUUUGGGGCGAUUUCAUGACCGAAGGAGAAGGAAUGGGCUGUCGGCUGGUGAUUGGGGAUCGGGCGAAGUUAAAGGGAAGGGGGCAGCAGGUCACCAGCUUAACAGCGUUUACUGUAGAAUGUGAGCCAUUUUUCUUCUCUCUUGGUUCAUUUCCCCCAAAUUAACCCCAUUUCAUAACUCUCCAAUUCCAAAUCGAUUAUAUUUACUUGCUGUGAAAUCUGAAGGAGCGAUUGGGAGGGAUUUGGGGCGAUUUCGUGGCUGAAGGAGAAGGAAGGGGCCAUCGGCUGCCGAUUGGGGAUUGGGCGAAGCUGAAGGGAAGGGGACGGCAGGUCGGCAGCGUAACAGCGUUUUCUGUGGAAUAUGAGCCUUUUCUCUUCCGGUUUUUUUUUUUUUUUUUUUUUUUUUUUUUUUUUUUUUUUCUCUUCUCUUUUUUUUUGUGGUUUUGUUUUUGUUUUAUGCCACUGCAUCUAUAAUUUAUCAUCUAUGUUAUGUUAUUUGUUAAUUUGUUGGGUUUAUUUGUAUUCCAAGAAAAUCACAUGAUGAUGAAGCGACAAUAAUGAAUAAUCUCAAUAACUUAAUUUCCAGACAUUGAGACCAAAAAUGACAGUAUUCUUAGAGAGUUCCGCAUUCAGAUCAGAAGUCAUAUUUAGGAAGUCAAACAACCUGCAAGAAUUUGUAAAAAUUGGUGUGGAUCCUCAUGUAAGAAAUGUUAAAUGAUGUCAAGAUUAAAGAUAGAUUAAUAAUAAAUAGUGAAUUGAACCAAGAUUAGUUAUAAACACAUCUUAAGAAACUUCUUGAUGAUAAUAAAAGGUUGAAUCCCAACCUUGAGAGCCCCCACCGCCGAGGCAUUUUCAAGAAUGUCCAAUUUUAGGGGUGUAAGUUGAAAAGUAUCCUAUUGAAAUUAUGAAUCUCUUAUAAUAGUUUUAGUUAUAACCAUUAGUCUGUUAUAUGAAUUGUCUGCAAAAUUGUUUAUGUUCUCCUCUUUGUGUUUUUAAUCUGAUCUGCAAUUGGUUGUCGCUAAAACAAGAAAAUGGUUAUGGUAAAAUUGAUUUAGAAAUGUGUUUCUUAUGAGACUAAUUAAUUGCUUAGUUGCAUAUUGAAAAUAGGGCCUAUUAGGCUUGGUUUAUUAAAACAAGCUAAUAAUAUUGGUGUGAAUCCUCGUGUAAGAAAUGUUAAAAGAUGUCAAGAUUAAAGAUAGAUUAAUAAUAAAUAGUAAAUUGAACCAAGAUUAGUUAUAAACACAUCUUAAGAAACUUCUUGAUGAUAAUAAAAGGUUGAACCCCAAUCUUGAGGGCCCCCACCACUGAGGCAUUUUCAAGAUAUGUACAAGAUCCAUUUGUAAAAACUCGAUUUCAUAUCUCAUAUCAUUAAGUCACAUGAUUAAGCCACAGGAAAAAACCUAUAAUUAAUUGUACUCUGUAAAUAAAUUCAAUAAAAUAAAGAAAUCUCAUUUACAUAUAUAUUGAAUAACUUUUAAUAUUAUUUAAUCAAAUUUUAAUAAACGAUUGGGCGAUUAUGGUUGUUGAUUGUCAAAGGUCAAUAGAUAACGGUCAACCUCCGUCCUAAUUGGAUUUUGGUGGGAAAUCCAUCCUAAAUAGUUUUAUUAUAUGCAAUAGGAGGCAAGGUGGGAAAUCCAUCCUAAAUAGGAGACCAUGAAGUUAAGUCAAGAAGAAUUUUGAAAUCCAUACAGUUUUUCAUAGAUCUCGGACACAUAAAAAAAUAUGUAUCAUUUCAGAUAUCUUUAAAGUAUAAACCAAUAUAUAUAGAUAGUAAUAAAGAAUAUAAUUAAUGAGGUUUUCUUUUCAAUUGUGUAGCAUGACAGUGCUUUGGGGAAUUCAAUAUUGUGGUUAAGAAGGAUUCCUCCUUAGUUGAUGUUCUAGAGGAACAGGGAAUACUCUAUGAAAGAGUUCACUAGUGAAUAUCUAAGACUCACUAGUGAAUAUCUAAGACUGACUUUUGUCAAGAGUUGAACAUGCUUGUAGGUUUAGGAAUUUUUGACAAGAUCCAUCUUUCGAUUUCUUUCUAGUACAAUGUAUUCUUAGUUGGAUUAGUUGUGACCAAAAAGUGCAAUAUCUCUCAAUAAUGCAUAUCUAGAUAUAUCUCUUAUGUCGGUAUUUGAGUGUUUUAGUGUAAAAAUACAAAUAAAAUUCCACCUGCAUAAAAGUUUUGCUUACAUUUAAAAUACAGAAUCUUGGAUUUCAAAACAUUGAGCUUGUGCCAAAUUUUCAAUGAUCUAACCACGUGUCAUAAUUAUAAAACUAUUUACAAGAUGACAAAAAAUAUUUUGCUUGAAAGAAAUCAAGUUAUUGAGGUCUUGGUAUAAAGUUGUACCAGUAUAGGUCAUAUUUCAUUAGCGAUGUGCCGUUAGAUUAUGCUAAAUAUUAGCCCUUUCAUUGAUGAUGUAUGCUUACACGAGGCUAAGUCUUUACCCUUUGUUGCAUUAUCCAUAUGAGAAAAAUCAUUUUUCUUUUACUGCAUUAUAAACAAGAAUGUUAUAUUAGAUUUCGUUUGUACAUUCUCAUACUAUUUGUUAAAAGUUUUGUUUUUAUUUGUUUUGAUUUGUAGAUGACUAUGUCACACCGAUAUAACAUUCUAGAAGAAGAACGUGUUUUGGCCCAUGUCUCACAGGUCAGCAACACAAAAUACAUAUCAGUUGUCCUCAACAAAUUGGAUCCACAACAAAAGCGUAUGUUUGAGGACAAUUGUAUAUAGGACAUGUGGCAAGGUUAUCAGAGUUGAAACUAUCCGCUCAAUUAAUUCAUAAAAUGGUAAACGAAACGGUAGUAUGCAAAAAAGCAGUUUAAGGCUUAGUUCAAGGUGAACCAAAAGUUCACACGAUUUGGAUUGCCGGAGUUCACAUUAAUCACUGGCUUGAAGUGUGGUAAAGUGCUUAAAAGUACCAAAGUUGACAAAAUCCUAGAGAAAACCCAUCUACAGUACAGAAUGUUUGCUAAUAUGGACCGAAUAACUUGUAGCAAUCUGGAGAAAGUUUUCUUAACAUAAGGCAACCGUAACGAUCGUUACAAGCUUGGGUUGGCACUAAUUAUUGAAGGGGUAUUCAAUUCAGAGAUCGAAAUGUAGGGAUACAUCCGACAACUCUCUCCAUCGUUGAUGACUUAGAUUUCUUCAAUGCCUACCAAUGGAGGAUAGUAUGUUUUCAACUUCUUAUCAAAUCACUGCUACAUGGAUGGGGAAAAAAGGCGGACAUGGCAAAAGUGAACGAUUGUGACAGGAUGACUUACACGUUGUAUGAAUUCCCUCUCACUGUCCAGCUAUACAUGUGUCCAUAUUCAUUUAAGUUCUUUUCAUCGCACAUUGUUACGUACCUCCGAACAUGGUUAUUACCGUUAUAAAUGUCAUACAUAUUUGGGCGUACGAGGCAAUCCCGGAGUUGGGAGCUCGAUUCUCAAGCAAGACUGGUGACAAUGUUCCGAGGAUGUUGCAGUGGUCUGGCACGAAACAAUCCUAUUCCAGAACAUAUGCAGAUUUUUUUGAGAAGACACAUGUGAGCAAUUUACAUACAUAAUAUGCUCACACUUUCGCAAUCUAUGAUAUUUCAGCUCGCUUAUUUUUCCUUCCCCUAUAGGUGCACUUCUGGGUAACAUUGGGCACAACUGCUGCGGAAAAACUGCAGUCACACAUCGUCGAUCUAGUUCCAUUGGAAGACGUAGCUGACCCCAUUCUAAAUGAUCUCAUUGCUCAAUCAAUAGAAAUACAUGAUUGUCCAGUUGAAGAUGAUGUUACACGGAAUGAUGACAACAACUAUGGACGAAAUAAAUCUCGGCAAGGCAACACAUGUGGACUUCAUCAUCGAGAUUUGCAUCACGUUGACGGUGGAGAAGAAUAGCAUGGGGCUCUGAUCAUUGAAAGGCAUGUGUCUUUAGAUGAGACAAGAGCUCUCUUCAAUGAACAACGGGAGGCAUUUGAGAGCAGGUUGGACGAUUUAAGAAAGGAGAAAAAUACCAGAUUCGCUAGUCUCCCAAAUGAACUGGGAUGUCAUGAGUGCAAUUUGAGAAAUCAUGUCACUGAUGAGAUAAAUAACAUUCGACGUAGGUUUGAUGAAGUUGCUAUAGAAAUUGGGGUACACAAUGUUGCUGACCAGUAUGGUGGAUUUGGUCAUGAUGAUUGCAAUGGAGAUGUGCCCCGACGUGCUGUUUUCACUCUCAAUAUUUCUUCGGACAAACAAAAUGUCGGAGAGGCAAUCGAAACAGAUGUUUGUAAUAUUCUUGAUGUGUCCAUAAAGUCGAGAGGUGGGGUUGGAGUACUUGGGUUAGUAUACGUUACUUGUGAUAUUGUGAAAGAGGCACCAACCAUUGUACCUACAGUUGGUGUGUCCAUUGAUGAUCAACCGGUUCAUAAUAGUGUCGUUAUUGGACCUUCAAUGGCAGCUGAUUCACCUAUACAUAGAUCUCAAUCGUUGAGGCUAAAGAAGGCUAGUGCAAGCACAAAGACACCAUACACCCGUUUCGGUCGCAAGAGGGGUAAGAGGGAUGCUUAGUCUGUGUAUUUUGGUUGAUGGCACAUAAUGGUGAUUGGAUAUGAACUUCAGGUUGAUUCAAAUUUAGAGGUUCACAUAUUUUGGUUUAUAUGGUUGUUUGCAAUGUGUAUUUUGGUUUAUGUCGUGGUACGUAAUAUAUAUUUUGGUUUACGCAGUAGUUUGCAUAUAAAUAGGUUUAUAUGCUGGUUUGUAAUAUGUAUUUUAAUUUAUGUGGUGGUACGUAACAUGUAUUUUGGUUUAUGUGGUGGUACUUAAUAUGUAUUUUGGUUUAUGUGGUGGUACGUAAUAUGUAUUUUGGUUUACACGGUGGUUUGCAUAUUUUGGUUUAUAUGGUGGUAUAUAAUAUGUUCUUGAACUCUCAUUCUAGACAAUUGAAAUAUCAAGUGUCGAGAUUCACAGCUAUGUAAUGUCGAUAACCACAUAUCAAACAUCAAGAAAUUGUUGAAACGUAGAGAAAUCUCCUCUUUUGGUCCAAGUGUCGUUCUAGACAACUCCAAUGUCAAGUGUCAAGUUUAACAGCUAUUUAAUAUCGAUAACGACGUUUCAAAUGUCGAGAACGGCAUCAAAUGUCAAGAUAAAUAUGAUCCAACCAAUUUCAAUGAAGAGUUAAGGCAACCAAUUGGAGUAUUGCCUGCAAAAACUGUAGCAAGCGGGUUUAUAAUUAUUAGAGAAAUUAAAAUUGAUAUGCCAAGCACAAGCACAUUCUCAACCAUAUUGAUGUGAAAAAAUAAUAAAAUAAUCACCAUGAAUGACUUCAAUCAUAUUGGUUGGUAAGAUAUCUUCUCAUGCAUUCAACAGACAAGUGUUUCUCCACUAUAAAAGGCUGGACUUUACGUAAAUAUGAACAGACAGGAAUUUAACAAACUCAUAGCACUAAUUAGUUCUUCCAUUGAUUAUGUCUUUAUCCACUCAACAUACUUCUUAUAUUGAUGUUACUAUCACUUUCGAUCCCCCCGGUCCUCCACGGAUAACCCGAUCAUCAUAGACUCAGACUUUGAUAAUGAAAGCAAUGCCUUUGUUCCAUAUGUUCAUCAACCUUCAAACCGCCAUCAUAGGGUUUUCUUUCAACCCAUUUCUUUUUCGAAUCUAAUCGACAAAACUGAACCAAUUCAAGUUCAUCGUGAGAUCGUCCCACUAGAGUUCCAAUCGGAAGCACAUCAUGUAUUGUUGGAUGAAAAUGUUGGAGCGAUUCUCGUCUAAAAUGAAGACGUGAUCAUCAUAAGCUCCGACGAGGAGUAUGACAGUGAUAUAUCCUCUUUGUCCAUGGUGGACAAUAUGUAGAAGAUGCAAUUAUCGUAAAUGAAAUGUUUACGUAUAUAUACUAGUGUUAUAAAAUUCAUAUAGGUGAUGAAUAUUUUUUAGGGUGAUUAUCAUUUUAUAUAAUAGUCGUCUACGACGUGCAUUGGAGUUAUGGCUUCCUUCUGUUGUGAUUACCAUUUUGUCUGCUCCAAUGACUUAGGAGAACGAGUCAUUCAUGGAUUGCUUUUGUAUCUAUUACCAUAUUAUGUUUACAAUGAUUAAGAAAAUCCAGUGAUGAAUUAGAUAUAUGAUUGUUCACUUAUAUGAUGAACGAAAUGAUAUCGUAAUGAAAUGCUCAUAAGAAUAUAUGCAAUCACCAUUUCCCUUAUUUUUAGUUAUACCCCAAACCUGAGUUUUCUUGUUUGUAUCCAUUAUGACAUUCUAAAAUUAAGUCUUGUUCGUACUUGGUGAAAUGCCCAUACGAAUUUUCCUAUUCGUGCGCUAUAAAAUUUUGAACGACAAGAGUAAUAUAAGAGAAAAAUCACAAAAAAUUGGAUGAAUCCUAUAAAGGAUUGAGAAUGUAUUACGAGAUUAAUUUUAGAAUAAGCAAUUGCAAAUAAAUGCUAUGAAGAAAGAAACAGAAAGAAGUAAAAGUAAAAAAUAUAUCAACAACAUUUAAAAUAAGAGAUUAACAAUUAAGAUAGAAAGCAACUAAUACACAAAUAUAUUCAAAACAUUGAUAAUCCAUGUUAUCGGGGCAUUCGACGAUCGAAAUACACAAUGUCAUUCAAGUAUACGUGUUACUCAAAGGUGUCAAAAUCUGACAUGUUUGCCUGUUAUGUCCAAAACCUCCACAUCGGCCGCAUUUUUGUGUCAAAGUCGACCUUUCAGUUCUUGAUCGUUGACGUUAGGUAGGAGUUCGACCUGGUGCUCUAUAUAUAUUCAGGGGCAAAACUUUGACGGAAGGAAUAGACUAAGGAACAACACAAUCUGACUCUUGGCCAACGGAGUGAAGAACUUCGUUGUACGCAGCUCGCCAACAUUCUGUGGUGUAAUAAGGGGAGCAUAAGUCAUACAAUGAUUUUCCUUUUGAGCAAGCAGCUCGGGAUGCAUGUAAACAUGAGAUUUGUCGCAUCUGAAACUCUCGAUAUGGACAUAUGUUACCUAUAAGAUUGACAAUACAAAGUUCAGUAGCUACACCUACCUCAAAAACGAGUUCGUCCAAAUUUCGUACUUGUAAGGUUGCACCGGCGGCGAAUGAUUUUCUCAAUUCAUCAUCAAUUUUUGGUGUCACGAUCGUACUACAUUUGGUGGAUGCGCUUUUUCUCUCGUAGAACUAUCGUUGCAUCAAUGACGUAAUAUUUUCAACCAACGAGGUUAUAGGGAAACUUUGUUGUUGCCUCAAGAAUGAAUUUAGUGACUACGUAAUGUUAUUUGUCAUAACGUUGUACCGGUUACCAACAAAAUUUGCCUAUGACCAGGUGGAUAUACCGGCACGUUCCAAGUAAGAUGCCAUUAACAUUCGAAUGGUUCUUGUCUAUGUCAUGAACUGAUCAAAUUUCAAUAGGCGGUAUGCUAGCGCUGCCUGUGUGAACAAGAAUAUGACAUUGCUACUGCUAUACCUAGAAACAAGAUUUUUCUCGAUAUGCCAAAUGUAGGCACCGUGGUGAGAAAGCGGGAACAACCUCGUAAUUGCCCGCUUAAUACUCUUCUUCCUAUCCGACACAAACACUAGCUUGUUUGAAACAACUUCGCGAAGAACCAAUGCCACAAUGCAUUUGCUUUCCCAUCGACAACACCCCAAGCAAGAGGAUAUAUUUGUAGGUUAGCAUCUUGCACUGCAGCUACUAGUAGUGUUCCCUUAUACUGGCCCUUCAAAUGACUUUCAUCAACAAAAAUUACUGGCCUCAUGUACUCUCGAAAACCACAGUACACUCGGCCUAAACGCUAAGAAGAAGUACAAGAACUCAUUAUUUGAGUCGAGUUCAAUGUGUGCAAUAGUUUAUGGAUUUUUCUUGGUUAACAUAUGACAGUAUGAUGGCAAUUUCUGAAAACUUUUUUCGGGUGUACCACGAAGAAGUCGAAGUCCCUUCUCUUUAGCCCUCUACGUUUUGUUGUAGGUAAUCCGUACACCAAACUCACAUUCUAUAUCCCCAAUAAUACCCGCAGGAACGUAUGAUUGGUUUGCAUCAUCCAACCUUCACCUUAUGUGAUGCCCAAUUAUUACACUCGUUGCGUGAAUUUGUGCAUUUCGUCGAACGUUUAGGGAACAUGUGUGCUAAGGUAUGUACUCUCGAAUCUUAAAUAUUUCUAAAGUUUUUAUCUUAGAAGGUCGCACUAGCCAAUGGCAUGUAAUAUUGACACAACACAUAGUAAUAGAUCUAGGAUUCGACUUUUUAAUCUUGAAGUGAAACUUUUCUUUCAAAGCCUUAAGUUGAAGCCUUGUGUGUAACUGUUGGUUGCUAAAGAAUAUCUUAUUCUCCACAAUGUCAUCUUCAUCAAUCGACUGAAUUGCAUUUCGAAUAAACAAACUCCCUUCACCUAAACUUUCAUCCGUAUUAUCAAUCGUUCGUGGCUCUUGUAGUUCGCAUAUAUCAACUUCGUCGCGUCCAAACAAUAUAUCUUCUAUCGGUGAGAAAGGCUCAACUCUGACAUGCAAUUCGUGCUCUCCAGCAUUAUAUUCAUCUGCAAUUACACACAACGUCGCUUCUGUGUGAACAGACAUAAACCAUUGCAAAUCUUCAUCGUUGGCUACAUCAGCACGGGGUAUAUUCAUUUUCGGAACUGUAAAUUUCAAUUGAAUUCAGAACUUCAUUCUGUCAGCAUUCAACUUCUCAAAUAAUUUAUAUACAAGCUCUUCAUAUAUAAUAUAAUAUCGAACAAUAAUUGAUGUUGUUCGGUUCCCUAACGACUUCCACCCAUCAUCCAUAUUGACGAAUCUACCACCAUAUGAGACAACAAAUCUCUUAACAUCUCCCAUAUCUGCAUGCCAUAAACAACAAUAAUGUCAGCCACUAACGAAAAUCGAAAACGAAGAUACUACCUGCAUGCAAUAUGUGAAACGCUAUACACGAAAAUUUCCCAACUUAGUCAAGUUUUUAAUGUUAUUGUCGCCAUUUGACAGUGUCGAGAAUGAUAGUAUAAAUAUCAUUCUCGACAUUUAUAAAAUGUCGAGAAUGAAAUGACGGGAUUCCAUACAUUUGUCAUCUUCUUCAACUUCAAUCACCAUUUUUGCAAGAAUUUAUUCCACUAUAAACGAUGUUCUAAAUACAGAAGUAUAUUAUCUAACUAAGUUAUUUAAGAUGAAUAGUACAACAAAUAUCUACUUAGUGUUUGGAUACUUUCAUCCAUUAAAAUGAAAAAAAUACCUUAUCAAAAAAAUGAGAUUUAAACAUAUAUAACAACAACUACUAAUUACAAUCUAUCAAAAAAAAAAAAAAUUCAUAGAAAUAGAGUUCAAAGAAAUAUACCUUCGACCAAGAAAUGAUGAGAGUCUAAUCAACUUCAAAUUUCGACGACAAUAAAUUUCUUCACAUGAAAUAAAAUGAUUUCUUUGGAGUUGGAAUCAUAUACUUCUUUGUAUGUCUUAAUGGAAUUUCUACUUCUUCAUUUGUUAUAGAAUAAUUAAUUAAAAUCUAAUUAAAAAUGUAGGCAAGUGGACUCACCUAGGUAAUAGCAACAUUAUUUGGUUUCUCAUAGAAGCUAUUUGCUCUUCUCAAAAAUUGUGUCAAAUUAAUAUAAAAUUGAUUAAUCUUUUCAUGAGGGUAAAGUAAACAAUUUGAUAUGGAAAUUGGACAUAUUUGCAAGGAUUAUCAAAAUAUGACACUUUUCAACUCACACCCCUAAAAUUGGGCAUUUUUGAAAAUGCCUCUAAUAUUUAUUUGGUUUGAAUGAUUGUUAGGAGUUUAAUGAUUUUCAAUUACAUGACCAAUAAUUGAUUAGAUUUUCCAUUUCUAUCGACAUUCCAAAUAAGAAACAUCAUGAAUUAUAGCACUAACAAUUAUUGUAAUAUUGCUGCAUACAUUUUGGGCACAUUAUUAAUGAUUAAUUUUUUGGCGUAAUUCAAGCACGCCAUAUAGAUGGAUAGAAAAAUCUCAUUUUUUUCUUUUUUUAAAAUAAAUAAAUAAAUUAUUCACGGAAUGCAUAAGUGUAUGUCAUAAAAAAAAUAAGAAAAUAAAUCUACUACGUAAAUAUUGCACGUUGUAAUAAUGUAUAAGAAAGAAGUUGGAUUUUUUACGACAUACAAAAUUGCAUGCCUAGAAAAAGGAGAGAAAAAUGGAAAAAGAAAAAAAGAAAAUGGGAGGAUCAAUGUUGUGAGCCGGUUGCCUUGCUUCCCACUCCCUCCACCUCAGAGUGCAUAUUUUCAACUCUAAGGAUAAGAUUACGUCAAAUCGAACUUGUAACCAUUUCAUGCUAGUAUCAAUUGGUAUCUAGUGUCAUCCAGUAAGAUUUUGACGGAUUUUACAAUCUUAAUGAAUUUUGUGCAUUUGAAUAAAUUUUUACAAAUUCCAUAAGAAUUUCAUUGAAUAUGGUGAAAUUUUAAAAAGUUUGGUCAUAUGUAUUUUUGAGUUUGAAAUCUAUUCGAAUAUUUUUAAAUUCCUCUAUUAAUGAAAUCUUUGUAAAUUGGUAGUUAUUGAAUAUAACUAAAUUUUAAAUGAUUUCAUCGAAUUUUUGAAUUUCAUUAAAAUCUCAAUUGGGGACACUAAAUUUUAAUGGAUUUCAUUAAAAUACAUUAAAAUCUUAAUUAAGAUCGCCUAAAUUUAGAAGAAUUUUAAAAUUUCAUUUGGUUUAUAAUUAUAUCUUGGUAUUACAUGAAAUUUCAUUAAAAUUUCAUUUGGUUUAUAAUUAUAUCUCAGUAAUACAUAAAUUGUAUUUUUGUAUUUUUUUUCCCCACUAUCCAUCCAUUACAUCUGUUCUUAGUUGAGCUUUAUCUUUGAUUUUUUAUAAUGGAAAAUGGAAUGGUACUUUGGCUUCUAAAUUUUUUAUUUUACCACUUUGAGAUUUUUAUUACGAGCCCAAACUUCUCCCAGUCUUUCGAAAAGAAAAUAUCAGAUCUCCACAAUUUCAGAAAAUUGAUCGACCGAUAUUAAUGUUGGGUUCAUUACUGUCUCCGUAAUAUGUGUAUGCAUGCCAUAAAAAAGUUAAAGUAUUUAACUUCUCCCAAUUUUUAUUGAUCGACCGAUAUUAAUUUGGGUGCAUUACUGUCUCCGUAAUAUGUGUAUGCAUGCCAUAAAAAAGUUAAAGUAUUUGCAGCGUUCUUUUGGACUCCGUAAAAGAUUCCGUAACGGCGUUCUUUCCCUUUUUAACGGCUUGAAAUGCAUGAUGUAAAAAGAUUUGAGCAUUUAAGGCAUGAUUUUAUAUAGCAUACACGCGUACACCGUAAAAAGUAAACUUUGUUAUAGUGCGUUAUGUUUUGGAUUAUCUAUGAAUGCUCUUUUGAUUUAGUGCAUCUUCAUAUAUCCACAUCAAUAAUAUAGAUAUAAUAAGAUCAUAUGUGAUAAUACGUAUAAUUCUAUUUGAGAGUGAUUAUUGACUAAAUUAGGAACAUUAGUCUUCAAGUUCAAUUAAGUGUUGUUGAAGUAUUGAAUUGAUAUUAAAUAGACGAAUAUAGAGGGAUUUGAGGUGUUAGUCCUUUAAUUGAGUUUCAAGGAGGCCGCAUAUUUGAGCAAUGGCGGAAUGUACAAUUUACUCUUUAAAAUGGAGCAUACUGAGUUCAAUCUGUGUUAAUGGUAAACCACCAAAGAAAAAAUAAUAUAAAUUAGUAACUUGGUGGCCUCCACUACAAUAUGACAAGGAAUUGGAAUUUUAGUUUUAUUAGUCUUUGACUUGUAUUAUGAAUUGUUAUUUUCUCUACGUAGGGGAUAGUUGGCGGGUGGCGGGUGCCAACUUAGUUGAAAUGUGCCAAUAACCUCUUUAUAGAGCAAUCCAAUCCCCCCCCCCCACUCAGCGUGCACUGUGUCUACGAUCAGAACUAUCAAAUGUCAAAUCACCCAUCUUGGUACCCCCACAACACAAAAUAAUAAUAAUAAUAAUAAUAAUAAUAAUAAUAAUAAUAAUAAUAAUAAUAAUAAUAAUAAUAAUAGCAACAACAACAACAACUUAACGAAUUUUUCCAUUGUCGCUUAAUAGAUUCUCUGUAACAUUCAAGAACAUCUUAUAAUGCAAAAUAAAUUAGACAAUAUAAUAUAAAAAUGUUUAUUUUUAUUUUUUUGUAUAUUAAGGAAUCUAACUUACCAAAUGUACCUAAUUUAUGUGAAGACUUGCAAGAUGUUAAGCUAAUAGCUAUGAAUCUCAAGUGCAUUUCUCGAUAAAUGGUAAAUGGAUUUGUUGACUUGGAUGAAAAUUAUUCCUAAUUAGUUAACUGAAUUAACCGUAAUAUAGGCAGAAGAACAUGGUCCAAAACACUCCAGCCGCAAAAACGCAUGUGAGCAGCACGCCAUAUAGAUUGAUAGAAAAAUCACGUUUUUUCGUUAAAAAUAAAUAAAUUAUUCACAGCAUGCAUAAAUGUAUGCCAUAAAAAAAAUAAGAAAAUAAAUCUACAGCGUACAUAUUGCACGUUGUAAUAACGUAUAAGAAAGAAGUUGGAUUUUUUACGACAUACAUAAUUGCACGCCUAGAAAAAAGAGAAAAAAUAUGGAAAAAAAAUGAAAAAGGGAGGAUCAAUGUUGUGAGCAGGUUGCCUUGCUUCCCUCUCCCUCCACCUCAGAGUGCAUAUUUUCAACUAUAAGGAUAGGAUAACGUCAAAUUGAACUUUAACCAUUUCAUGUUAGUAUCAAUUGUAUCCAGUGUCAUCGAUUAAGAUUUUGACAAAUUUUAAAAUCUUAAUGAAUUUCUUGCAUUUGAAUACAUUUUUACAAAUUCCAUAAGAAUGUCAUUGAAUAUGGUGAAAUUUUAAAAGGUUUGGUUAUAUGUAUUUUUUAAGUUUGAAAUCUAUUCGAAUAUUUUUAAAUUCUUCUAUUAAUGAAAUCUUUAUAAAUCAGUAGUUAUUGAACAUAACUAAAUUUUAAAUGAUUUCAUCGAAUUUCUGAAUUUCAUUAAAAUCUCAAUCGGCGACACUAAAUUUUAAUGGAUUUCAUUAAAAUACAUUAAAAUCUUAAUUAAGAUCGCCUAAAUUUAGAAUGAUUUUAAAAAUUCAUCACAAUCUCAAUUAGUUUAUAAUUAUAUCUUGGAAUAUUCUUUUAGUAAUACAUAAAUUGUAUUUUUGUAUUGUUUCCCCAUUAUCCAUACAUUACAUCUGCUCUUAGUUGAGCUUUGUCUUUGAUUUUUUAUAAUGGAAAAUGCAAUGCUACUUUGGCCUCUAAAGUUUUUAUUUUACCACUUUGAUUGACCGAUAUUAAUGUUGGGUGCAUUAUUGUCUCCGUAAUAUGUGUAUGCACGCCAUAAAAAAGUUAAAGUAUUUACAGCGUGCUUUUGGACUCCGUAAAAAGUUCCGUAACCGCGUUCUUUCAUUUAUUUAUUUAUUUUUUUUACGGCUUGCAAUGCAUGAUGUAAAAAGAUUUGAGCAUUUAAGGCAUGAUUUUAUAUAGCAUGCACGUUUAUGCCAUAAAAAGUAAACUUUGUUGUAGUGCGUUAUGUUUUGGAUUAGCUAUGAAUGCUCGUUUGAUUUUAUGCAUCUUAAUAUAUACACAUCAUUAAUAUAGAUAUUGUUGCGGAAGCUCUCUUGAAAGAUUUUCAAAUCGGUUAAUUUCCGGCUCAGUCCAACUUACCUUUCUCCACCAACAACCAAUUCAAUUGGCUCCAAACCACAGUCAAUUAAUUCACCUUAGUUGCCAUUCAAUUUUACCCACGUCGGACAAGAAAAAAUGAUGAUUUGUGACCACAAAGGCUAGGAGAAGACACCACAAAUAUAUACUAUGAAGGAACCACCAAUUGCAUACGUUAAACAAGUGUUUUGGACACUUCUAGAUGCCAUUUUUUACGCACAAAAGAGGGCAGCCGGGAUUCCACUUUUUCUCACACAAAACAUCACAAGAAAGUGGCUAGGGUUGUAGCCAUAUAUAUACUCUAAGGUUAGGUUUUAAGUUGGACCUUUAAAAAGGUAAACAGAUCAAGAUUCAAGCCAUCCAAGAGGAAAUAUAAUUGGACCAUGUGUAGCUCAUGGAAUUGGUUGUUGGACUUAUUUCAUUCAUCGGCCUAUGCCUAUAAAAUAAUAUUAACACACAUUAACAUCAUAACCCGAGAUUUAUUGAGUAUAAAAAAUCCAACAGAUGUAAUAAGAUAAUAUGUGAUAAUAUGUUUAAUUCUAUUCGAGAGUGAUUAUUGAAUAAAUUAGGAACAUUGAUCUUCUAAUUCAAAUAAUUGUUGUCAAAGUUUUGAAUUGAUAUUAAAUAGAAGAAUAUAGAGGGAUUCGAGGUGUCAGUCCUUUAAUUGAGUUUCAAGGAGGCCGCACAUUUGAGCAACGGCGGAAUGUACAAUUUACUUUUUAAAAAGGAAUGUAACUUACCAAAUGUACUUAAUUUAUGUGAAGACUUGUAAGAUGUUAAGCUAAUAGCUAUGAAUCUCAAGUGCAUUUCUCGAUAAAUGGUAAAUGGAUUUGUUGACUUGGAUGAAAAUUAUGCCUAAUUAGUUGACUGAAUUAACCGUAAUAUAGGCAGAAGAACAUGGUCCAAAACACUCCAGCCGCAAAAAUGCAUGUGAGCAAGGGCGAAGUCACGAAUUUACAUUGUGGGAGAGUAAAUAUAAAUUAUCGUCAUAAUUUUAGGCCAUUGGAUAACUUUCAUAUGCAAAUGUAAAUCUUACUUCGUGGUUUUAUGGCAUGUAUAAUGUUCCAUUUGAAUAACAGUAAAUAUGGUGGAUUAAAGAGAUAACAACCUAGUCGAGAAUUCAAAAUGCACAAAGUCCAGUAAACCUUUAAACCUUUUCCAUGUUAACAUAUCUAAUGAAUUGAUCUUCAGUGUUAUCUCAACAACUCUCAAAGAUUUGGAGUUUCAUAUUAAAAUGUCAAAUUUAUUUGUCGGGUACCAACAACGGUGGCGAUUCUGGAGGGAACUGUAUCCAAGGAAUAUGCAUUGUUUGAUACGGAAAAUUAACUUUUUUGAUACAUAAUAUUUGAGAAAGUGAUAACAAGCACAACCAAAUGUGCAUAAAGGAGUAAUCAGGUGCUUACUAAACAGUUUGAAAUACACAGGCAUUUUCCAAUACGAGAUGGGAGCCGACUAAUCAAAGAUUAUUGUUAAUUGUGAUACAAAGUUUUAGUCCAAUUUUCAUGAUAUGUAAAUGCGUACGUUCUGGCCAACCAAUUUUGUUAUGAUGUAUAAGGAUAGAUUAAGUGAUGGCGAAUGCCAUGAUGUGACAGAAGUUGUUUUAAGCAAGUUGAUACAUAAUUGCCCCCAGUAUCUGAUUCUAAUUGUUUGAAUUUAAAUUGGAGGAAGCUUUCAUAAACUUUAUCUUUAGACUUCAAAAUACACAUCCAAGUAAUUAAAUCUGGGGAAAAAAUCAUCAAUAAAAAUUGUUGAUUAAAUUAUUUAGUGUAGUGGGUGAAACUGGAUUUAUUCAUACCAUAUAUGCAAUUUACACAUUGGAUUUAUGCAUACCGUAAAUGCAACAUACCGUAUUUACGCAUACCGUAUAUACAGAUUACCAUAUUUGCAACAAUAUAUCGUAUUUGCACCAGCAUACCGUAUAUACACCAUCUUACCGUAUAUACAACAGUUUAUUGGCCUUGCAUAUACCGUAUAUGCAGUGGUAUUAGAUAUCAUAUUUUCAUAUAUCGAUUUUUGCACUUACAAAUACCGAAAUUGCAGAACACUGUAUAUGCACUUACCAAACCGAAUGUCAGUAAAAAUUUUCCAUAUUUUUAUUUUUAACAUAAACAAAAAAUAAGCUUUAUGAAGCACAAAAAUAAUAUAAAUGCAUAUGAAUCUGCAAGUCGAACAAGUAAGAUAAAAUUAAGAAAAUAAAUAAAUAAGAAAUGAAUUUUCAACCCGAGGCCUAUACGAGCACAGAUUCCUUAACGCAGAUUCACCCCCUUGCAGUAAGUACUACUUGAGAUUUAAUUCAAGCAUUUGUUUCUCAAUAUACAACGGUAAAAUCAAUAAGAUCUGAGCACCACAGAUACUACUUCGGCAAACUGAUUAGUAUUCGAACAAUAUCACCACCAAGACGGCGCGGACAAAAAUUGAGAUUAUGUAUGCAGACAAACCAACUUCGCAGAGAAUGAUAAUAUGUAGACACAGUUACAGUUUUUCUCCUGUAUUUUGUGCGUGUGUUUGUUGGAAAAAUGAGAUUUAAUAUAAGUUAAAUCUACCCGUUAACCCUAUGGCAAUAAACAUUAGAGUCACUUUAGUUUCUGCAGUAACCAUUGGAGUCUUAGCAGUUUUAGAACUCAAAAUUCAAUUGGAGAAAGCCAAAAAAAAAAAAAAAAGGUUGCAAAACAUAGACACUCCAAACGGGCCAAUUUUUACUCCGUUCGGUCCGACAUUCGUGUACGCAGGUCGCCCCCGCAUACAAAUUCAAGGUCCAAAGGCUAUUUUGAUCCGUGAUUUGCACCCCCUGUGCGCGAUCAAGUUUGAUCUUCAAAAUUGGGCCAACGGUUCCCAUCGAAAAUUGUGUCAAAAAUGAGUCAUUUACUCAUUUUUUCCAACAAAAAUAACAUUAGAUGAACAAAAACCAUCUGAUCGUGUUGAACAAUGUUAGGUCUAAAUGUAUUGGCAAUUCUGUGUCCAAACAUCAUUUAAUCGAGUUGAAAUUGGGGUUGAGUUAUAGGUUAUUUGGAAUUGUUUAAAAGCUGAAAAUCACGAAUUAGGGUUUUCCUGGAUAAACAUGCAACUCAAGCCCCCUGUGGCAGCUACUGUAAAAACGACUCAAGAGCAUUCUUUGAGCACUUUUGAUAAUUACUUGAUCUUCUUGAGUAGAUAUUGAGUUCUUCCAAAGGCAUUCCAACACUUGACAAUUCAACCCCAGUUCCAACUCAAUUAAAUGGUGUUUGGACAUGAACUACCAAUACAUUUAGACAUAACAAACUCUCCCUUUAACAUUUCAUAAUAUAAUGAAUUAUUACACAAUACACAAUUACCAAAUUCUAGUACCUAACCAUUAUAAAUUUGAGUAACCCAAAAUACACAACACCACCACUCUAUCUCAAUUGCUUUGUUAUGAAAAACACAAAUCAUGUGAUAACAAGAAAAUUUGAUCACUUGUACUAUUAUAAUUCAUAAAUAAUAAAAUCUUCCCACACAACUCAUUGUAAACUUAUAUGGGGUACAACAUAUAAGAAAUCCACAUGUGAAAUGUGUCACUAAUAUCUUGUAAGCAAGAUUCAAAACCUUAAUUUUGUGAGAAUGGACAUGCAAACUAAAAUCAUUGGUAAGUGAAUAUUUUAAAGAUAGCUCUAUUCAAUUUUUUUGUUGUAUAAUUUUUUUUCCUCCUUCAUCUAUGAGCACAUUUUUUUCUCAUAUCUUAUGUGAAGAUAUAUCUCCAAUAACCUUUCUAAAUGAACCUUAAGAGGCUUAAUCAUUCUAGUCAUAAUAGCUACAAAGAGAAUUAUAAGAUGUAUCAUACUCUCUUUUGACAUGGGAGUAUAAGUGUUGUAACCAUCGCCAAUGAUUUAAUAUCCAUGCCCAGAAUAAAUGUCAUGCGUAGAUGGAACGAAGCUAGUUGCACCUGCCCAAAGCUUUAAAGUCAAUGCAAUCUAAUACGUUUUGAAUAGCCAUAAUAAUAUAAUACGAAUGCCAUGGCGUAUUUUCCUUGCGGGGAUAAAUUGAAUGGCUAUUGAUGAAUUAAUCUGAAUCCAAACUUUUAUCAAAUUCUUGGUGACCACAAUAUUGACGAAUGCAACUUGCACAAAAAAGGAGUACUACAAUUCUUAUUUAACACAUUUUAUGUUAAAUUUUUGUCACAAAAAUUAAUUGUUUGGCUGUUUCAUCAAGAAGGAUUGUUAAGAGACUUUUCAAGAAACUAGUAGUAAGAACGUGUGUUGCACGUUUUAUGUAUCAAAUGAAUGAUAUGUGUAAUAUUUUUGAAGUAUUAACAUUAUUUUUUAAUGAUGUUAAGGUAAUUGAUAUUAUUAAAGGAAAAUUUAAAAUUGUAAAGAAUAAAUUUUUUUAAGUACUUUACUUUUCCCUCUCUUUUGUGAAGCAACGAAUAACUAGCCUGAGGGAAGUAUGAAACUAUGUAUAUAAUGUGAGAAUAUUGAAUAAGGAUUGAUUGCUCUUAUUUUUUUAUUUUUUUUUUCAUUUCGAAGUUGGUAUAUUUUUUCUUUUUUAAGCGUGGCAAAGAUAUAUCUUAAACUUCUCUUACCACAUCAACAAUAAGACGUUUUUAUUCUUCCCACUGGGAGAAGAAGAUCAGGCUUAUACAUCGAUGGUUAUUUUCAAUUGUGUGUUCAUGAAUACGACAUUGCAUUAGAAUUAGGUAUGGUAAAAUUAGAACAAUUAAGAAACUAAUAUAACAAAUAAAAAUUAUUUUUUCCCUCUUCGAACCUAUAUCUUAAAAUCCAAGCCUAGAUCUGGCAUAUAGAUAUCUUGCCCAAAGAUGGCUCCACAAAUUCAUAAAUAUGAAUAAAAAAGUAAUACACAUUUAUAUGAAUAUGCUGAGACAAUAAUACUAUCGAGCUACCACCUGCUUAUGGUGCCCUUAAUGGAUGUACACAUACAAUUAAAAUAAUUCAUGGUAAUAGAUAAAUUUAAAAUAGAAUUUUCAUAUAAUUAAAUCCAUUAUAUUAGAAAUUAAAUUGAAAUGUGAACCAAGCUUAAGUAAUUGCCAAAAAAAAAAAAAGGAAAAAGAAAAAAAAACUUUGUAACACUCGUCAACUUAUAAGUAGCUUAUAUUUAUCAUUUAGAUGGACAAUACUAAAGGAAUUAAAAAAUAAAAUUAGAGACAAAAAAGAACUACAUUGUCUUUUUAGUAUAAUCAAUUAUUUCGUCAAAGAUCAAAACAACCAUUUUUUUCUUUAGAAUUUGUAUCAUGCAAAUUGACUUCUCUAAAAUUCCAAUGUUCAACAUUAAUUUAUUUACGUAUAUAAGUAUCAUUUGGGCUAUUUUCGAGUUUUGAGAAAUUAUAACCCACAACAAAUUACUUUCAUUGACAAAAGCUUACAUCAAAUUGUUUUCAUUGACAAUGGUUCGAAAAUGAGAAAUGUUGAUUUUAAUAGCUAUCAUAAUCUUAAUUAUAUUUAUUACAAAAUGUAGAUACUAACACAAAGAGCUCUACAUCACUCUCUCAUUUAUAUACAUUAAUUAUUAAUUAUAAAAGUAGCCUUCUCUCAAUCUCUUUAAUAUGCUCUCAAUGGGGAGGAAAUUAAAAAAAACUAGUCUCAACUGACUCUCUCCAUCUUCUUUCAUCGUAUGUUCUCUUUGUAUAUUGAAAUUUUUAAUCGGUUAAUAUUGUGUGUGAGUGAUUUAGAAUUUUAGAACAUAUUAUAAUGUUGUAAUUAUUUAUUUAGUUUCAAAUAAUGAAAAGAAUGUGGCAAAAUGAGUUAAGUGCGAAAAUGAACAAAGAUUGUUUAUUGCAAUUAUAAUGUUGUGUAGUUAAUAAAAACUUUAGUGGGAAUAUAAUUACCUAUUUUAUUUGGUAUUCCACUUUAUUCUAAAUUUAGAUAUCAUGGUGAUUCAUAUAUAACUACCAAUUAAAAUAAUUUUUAAAUAAUGGUAGAUAUAAUAUAAAAUGAAAUUUUAUCAAAUUAUAUUGCCCUUGUUUUAGCCCCCAUUCUUGUCCAAAAAUAUAUUUUUGAAUAGUGUAUUAAUGAGAAAUGUGUAGUUAAAAAAUAAAAAAAAAUCAUCGAUGUGCGUGUAAUAUUAUUUUAUUGAAGAAUGCGUUGUUGAAGUGUGGUCAAAUCACUAUUCAAGAAUGUAUUUUGAUAGAAAAAUGGGGUUCAAACAAGGGCAUAGUAACAUUUUCUAUGCAUUAAUUUGAUUACAUUAAAAUAUUAUCUAGUUGUUUAGGUAUGCUUGAAACAACAAAAUGAAACAGUCAUUUAAAUAGGAGAAAAUAGAUGUUACUUUUGUAAAUUGACUAAUUUAAUCAAGAAAAGAAAUUAAAUUUAUAUUGUUGUAAUAAAAGACGUUGAUAAAAAAUUAUAUAAUAUUGAAAAGAUUAAUUUAGGGAAUUAUGAACGAAUGGAAAAGAAAAAGAGAUUUUCACUCUGAGUUUGAUUUUGGAUUCGCGUAGUGAUAAAAUCAUUUCCGAAUUGGCUCCACCAAUUCUUCAAUACUAGGUAUAAGGCUGAUUAUUAAAGAAUCUUUUAUAGUCACUUUUUUUCCCCUUCAUGAUGAAUAAAUUGAAUUAAUGUUAUUAAUUAAGUAUUAACAAAAUCAAACUUAAAUAAGGAUAUAUUGGACAUAUGAGUAAAUAUGUAAGGAAUUAAUGUUAUUAAUUAAUUAUUAACAAAAUAAAAAUUAAAUAAGGGUAUAUUAGGAGUAUAGCUAAAUACAUAAGGGAAAAUUCGGUAUUCAAAAGUUUCUUAUCAAUCCCUUCUUUUAAUAUUGUACAUAAGUUUUCGUCGUUGAAGCUAUAAUUAUUUUGUAGUACGCUUUUGUGAAAAUGUUCUCUAUGUAUUAAAACAAAGUAUGCAGAAGUACAAAUGUAAAUCGCCAUUUUACUCGUAAAUGUAUCAAUUCCAUCACCUUAAACUAAUCACAUUUAUUGCUGAUUUCAAUUUUUAAUUGUAUAGAAGGUUUUGAGAGAAUGUUUGGAAAAUUACCGAUCUAUGUAAAAGAACAUCAUUCAUAUGAACUUUAUUUAUUGAAUUGGAUACAUUGUGUGUCUAAACUCAUUCUUAAUUUUGUAUCUUAAGCUUUUAGUAUAUGAUCUAUAAUCUUUUUCAAGUAUAAAUCCUUCAAAUUGUUUUCUAAUUAUACAAGCAGUUGUUGGGUUGAACCAAGCCAGAAGCCUUUCCAUCGGCAUUAAUGCAUGACGAAUGAGCCGGUUCAUUUUUGUAGGUCAGCUUAACGUCUUCCAAGUUAAUAUCACUGCAUGGAUUUCCUUUACUGCAGUCAAGGUUCAUUGCAAUUUCUGUUGCCGAACUCCCAUGUAUGUCUUGAUAAGUUAU